GCACCAGGCCAGCAGCUCACGCCCAAAUUCCCCAACCCUAGCUUGCGUACAAGCCGCCUCCUGGACCAAUCCUCUGGUCCAUCUUCCUCCGGCUUGCCGACGGUGGCGGCGAUCCAGAUCCGGUGCCUAGCUGGGCGAGUAUGCCUAGCGGAGGUCCCGUUCCAGCUUCUGUUCGUCUCAUCGCCGGCGGUCUGGCUGCCCCGGCGGACCUCGCUCUGUCCUAAGAGAACAAGAACUGGAUGGUACUCUUCUCUGGCGACCAGAGGUCGACCUCGCCCCAUUCUUUUUUCUACCUCAACCCGCCAUUCUCCACAUGUCGCCACCCACCCCGCCGACGUCGGAGAAGAAAACUCCAAUCUGAAGGACACAAUUUCUGUUCUAAGUAUGAUGGAUACAUCGGAGCUUGUCGACUAGUGCUACGCUCCGCAACUACCAUUCUGCUACUGCAUGUCAAUCUAAUUGGAGGGAAGUAGUGCGACGUCACCUUUAGGAGAGCCUACAGUUCCAAUAAUCAUAAACUGUGUACCAGCACUAUCAUCCGUGGAAUCUGUCAACAGUGUUCAAAAUCAAGAUUUCAGCGAUGCUACCUCAUUAGCAGAGAUUAAUUCUCCAAUGCUUCUCAUUGAUGAUUUCGGUACACCGAAAACGGAACAAUCCUUCUCUCAAGAGGGUUCUUUGUAUAAACCCCCAGUGUGACGACGAAUUGAAGCCCAAAGUAGGGAUGAUAUUUGAUGAUAUUGGCUCGGUACUAGAUUUUUACAGGACAUAUUACACGAUGUUGAAUUUGGUGUACGUCUUGGACAACAAAAGGUCAUUGAUAAUGUGCUUCAGUGGAAGCGCUUCUUGAAUGCGAACGAAAGCUUUCGUCCUGAGAAAGAUAACUUGCAAUUGAUGAUGCAACAUUUCUAAGGAAGUGGUGUUCCAUGAUGCAAGAGCAUACUCUAAGAAAGAAACGACACUGUAGUAGAGGUAUGUGCUUCUUCUUGCUUCGAAGACUACCACUUAUUUGUUUUGCUUUGUCUCCUCAACUAGGUUGAUUGAAACUCCGGCUUAGAUAGAUCAUUUACCCAAGAUAUGUAUGCCUUUCAGUUUGACUGGCCUUUGGUAUCGCUAAAGAUGUAUGUAUGUGAUUUAGUAUCAAUCCUUCUUCGAUGACAUUAGCAUAUCUGGUAUCUUGUUUAUUAUUAUUUUCCUGUGCUAUUGUAGUUUUCGUAUUAUUACAAGGUAUAGCAUAAUGCAUGCCAUCUAAUUAUUUGUUUAUAAUCUGCAUCUGUAGGACUAUCAUAAAUCUCCCUUUAAAUUUCUCGAUGUCCUUCUAUUUGUCCUUACCAUUUAUAUGUUUAACCUAUUCCAUGAAACUAUAAUCUAUUGAUCGGAAGUCUAUGCAUGGAUGUGCAAGCUUUGACCCCCUGUGAAUCUGGAGCCUACGUUCAUAUUUUCUCAAGGUAUCCAGAUAGAUUUUUGCAUGCCCAGUUUGCUUGUAUCUAAUUUUGCAAGGUAUUUUACAUAUGCCAUGGCCUACUAGAGUAUCCGAACAAUAACUAUUGAGCUCUUUAUUAGGUCAGUUGUGGCAAAUGGCUUAAAGUACUAUCUGGUCCUUCUAUAUGUUUGAGGAAUUUCAUCCUAAGUUUGACAUCUAGGUUAUGUAUCAUGGGUUGGAGCAGCAAACGAAGCUGGACAUAAUGACCACCACUCUUCUCAAAAUGUGUUGUAUGCAAUUCGUACAUGUUUCUAACAUACUCAUGUUUAUUUUCUGUGGUUAACUAGGUGGAUUGAACCGAUGAAGGGUAUAUAGAGUCCAUGGAGGUUGCCAUAUAUUCCAACAGAUGAAAGCUCGAUUAUCAAGAAUCACUAAAAUAGGAGGCAAAAUGAUAGAUCUUUUUUGGCAUGUACCAUCAGGUCCUUAAUACUUGGUCUUCAUGCAAAUGUACUAAAAAUGAUAUAUGUUUGCCUCUUGCGUUGUGUUCUUAUGUACUCAAAUACUCGAAUGCUUGUUGAGUAGUGAUAACUUACUCAGAUGCUUCUAGUUA